CGCUAAAUUAAUCUCGGAAUUCAUAGGCCGUAUCAGAAUCAGAAUUUGCAUUGCGUCAGUAGCAAAGUGUGGAGAAAAAAUUAUAUAUUCUUUAUCCUUCACAUUAUCGCCGUAGGAAUUUGGUUACGACUGAGCCAUCUCUCUAAAAAGCAGGCGCUAGUUUACAAAUUUAUAUACGACACGGAUUGAGUUCCUUAGUUUUCAUUCUCUUAUAAUUACUACCGCGAUCCUAGACCACACGAUCCGCACUUGUUCUCAUUCGAUAAAAAAUGCCGGAUUCUGCAAAGGACCGAGACACAGAAAUCAACCCAUUUCGCCGUUGUCGUGCAAUCUGUGAUGGCGGCGACCUUGUAAUGCCGCGAAACUAUUUUUACUUACUUGUCUAUUUAAGAAAGCUGUCGGUAGCUCAGGCUGCUAGACAGCACGGAACGACGUUGUUAAAUGAAUAAUUAAUUGAAAGUUAAGGCCGAAUGUGAAUUUUCCUGGAGGGACUGAGGCCCUCCGCCAGUGCUAGUUCUUGGUCCGCCCCGAGGAUUUAUUUAAUUUCCUCGGCCCGCCACCUGGGGAGGAUCUAGCAAACCCCACGCGGGCGUUUUCCUACACGAACAAGAUUUUUUUAAGCUUAUUAGUCUUGCAUGAAUUAUUAUUUAGUAACAGUUUAUUGUACGUACUCUCACUAAUAUUUUGUGCAUGAAAAUCAUGUACUGACGAUUGCCCUGGAGAUGCGCGUGAGAAUGAAAGAACAGAUUUGGUUUGAGUAUCUCUUCGAUCCGUAGCCCGUGACAUCGAGCGGGCUGCGAGCUAGUUCGGUGAUACCAACCUGACAAUACUCCGCUAUAUUCAGUUGUUGCAGUUGUGAUGGUGACCACAAACUUAAAUGUUCACUCCUCCGUCGGGUGGAUCAUCGAGACAACACGACAAUAAACAGAAGUAGUAACAUGCAACAUUUUACACUUUAAUGCCGUUAAUAUGAUACAACUAAUGCAAGUAAUCACAAGAAUAGUUUGUAACGGGCAUACGCUGUAGCAGAAAGCUAAUGAAUAUUGACUGUAAUUUUAGUUAAUUCAACGUUGAGUGAACCUGGUGAAUCGCAUUGAUGAAAACGUACUGAAGAUGGCCUAAUUUACCGAAGCGCGUACAUCUAAUAAAGAAUCAAAUGUGAAGUUGUCGCAGAUGGAAAUACAAAUUAUAAUUCGAAUUUUUAGAUGGCUGGAAGUUUCAGUUUAGAUAUUAUAGUAUGAAGCUAGACGGAAUAAAAUCAUGUGAGAUUCUGGGACUCUUUCAAAGUCUCUCUGUCGACGGCAUUAUUUGCGUUCUUCCAAGAAAUAAUUCUGUUUGGGCUCGAUUUCGGUGAAUGUGCAGUCGGAGUGUUGGCGACGCAGGCAAUGCUUGUCCCCGGCACGGGAGACAAGCGAUUCGUAGCGAGGGACGAUGUCUUGCGCAUGCGUAGAACUCCGCCCUUAGUUAGCUUCGUGGUUGGUUGGGCGGCGUGUGUUUGUAAUUGCUAGCCGACGUGGUAGGUCGCUAUUUAUGCUUGUGAAGCUCUCGUCUGUCUGAUUGCCGAGAUUGUGUGGUGGUGUUUGUGUGUUUUUACAAUGUGAAUAAGUGUGCGUAAUUAUGCAGUGACACAUCAUAACAGAAUACAUAAAUCGAGACUCAUAUUGCCACAUCAAAUGUUGAAACAUGAACCAAUAGGAAAAAGAAACAAAGGACGCCCUUUAAAAAGAUUCCUGGAUGAUCACCCAGCGCGCUUGGUAGCAGACCUGCAGCUGUAUCAACAGAUAAGAUACCCUUGAAAGAGGAAUCGAGGCCAUGCACCGCCUUUCUGUUCGAAUCCACAGUUUUCAGUACGAAUUCAAAAAUUCCAUGUCUGCUUUCAUCAGAGCUCUACAGCUGGUGCUGGGUGGUGAUACCGCUGGAUAUGUCGAUGACGUUUUGGUGCACUCGCGGAGUUACGAAGAACAUACAUCACAUCUGGACUUGGUAUUAAAAGGACUCACGGAUGCAGGCUUAACCAUAAAGGCGUCCAAGUGCCGCUUUUGUCAGGCCGAGGUGACUUUUCUUGGGCACAGAAUAAACCAGACAAGUGUCGGUCCCGACCCUGAAAGGAUCGCGGCCAUUCUGAAAUUUUCUGUUUGCGAAGUCGAACUUCUUGCUCUCCUGAAGUUGAGACUGUACAUUUUUGGCCAGCGUGUUAUAGUCUGUUCCGACAAGGCAUUGACCUUUAUGAAAAGGUGUAACCUGGUUUCGAAUCGCAUAACCCGUUGAGCAGACCGAGGGAAGUUCUGAUCACUAGGAUCAAUUUAGAACUGGACCCUUCUGUGAAGAGAGAACUGGAAAACCAGAGUGCCCACCAAACCCAGGACCUCAGACAAAGGCUCAAAACUGAAAAUGGAAUCCUGUACGUAUUGGCGACCCUACUUACCUAGCCACUUGGGAAAGAAAGUGCAUCGUUCGCUUGGUCACUCCGGGACAGACAGACAAGUGCGGGGCACAAAUCAGCCACUCAUUCCGUGUGAAAAAUCUUGGGAGAAAGGCGAGAAGAUUUGUUGCCAGCUACGCGAUCUCUCAGCGGGUGAAAUUACGACACACACAGAUUAGGUCGCAUUUACCUAGAGAACCUGGAGACCUCGUAGCAGUGGACUUGAAUGGGAAUUUGCCCGGGGCUAGGGGAGGUCUUGGCGUGUCUUCUGUAUCCACUGCGGGCUGCCACCACCAGGGCUUGCCUCAUGGCUCAGUGCGAGCCAGGCGAGAGAAUUCUCCAGAAACAGCUGAUGUUGAGGAUCGAAGGCGCCAUCUCUGAUCUCUGAACCCAAGAUUCCGUUCAAUAAAGCACGCGUCUGUGUGUGACGGCAAAAUGGCGACUGCACUUUGAUCCAAGACAGCUUACAGGCCCCUUUCUGAGAUUAUGUGGGUGUCCCCUUAAUUAAUUUUGUAUUUUUAUUUCUGUCUUUGCAGAUUUUAUAUGUUUGUAUUUAUUUUGGAAAGCAAUUGUAAAAGAAUUCUCUUAGAGGCAACUUCAGCAGAAAGCAUUAUAAAUGUCAUGCUAAGAGCCUCGAUGCUUUUCUAUUACAUUAAUAGCCAGUGAUGUUUUAUUUUUUAUGAACUAACCAUAAGCAAAUAAAAAUUAAAAAGAGCCAUGGAAGUAAAACUCUUUAUCGAAAUGCGUUAAAUAUUAAUGACCACGAAGAACUGUUUCCUUAUAUAAUGACACCUGUUUGUUCCAACAGCUUCAACAGCCGGCAAAUAUUCGUUUUAUUUUACGUGUUAACUGUAAACAUGGAUUAUUUCAUUAAAUUGCAUUCACCGUUUGAUCCUUGUGGCUGUGAAGAGUUUUGUUUUCUUUGCGGUACGGAUUGAAUUCUUAAGCAUUGUUUGAAUAAAGGAUUAAAAUAAUUAUUUCGUGUGCCAAUGUUCCCUGCUCGAUAUUACUUGUUGCAAGAAGCGAGAAGUGAAAUUGUACUCAACCGAACGAGUAAACAAUCAGAUUUGAGGCUUAGUUGUUUAUUCUGUUUAAUAUGCCCGAGGCCUAUUUUAACAUCGGUGAACUGGCAUUUUGAGAGGAACAUGAUUUUCUCCUGGCAUCUGCUGAAGCGACUGACGUAGGUUUCCAUGUAAAAUGUCCUGUUGUUAUAAAGUGGAUGAACAAACUGCAACGAAUUUCUUUACCCGUGUAAGUAAAAGGUCCAAGUAUUUAUCCUCAUUUAAAGUGAUCGUUGAAUAUUGCCCGAUCCAACUGAAAAUGUAAAUACAGUGGAUUCUGGUUAAUUGGGUUACAUCGGGACAAGAAGACUUUGGCCCUAUUAAGCGAAGUUCCAUGUAAAGAGUUAAAAAGGUCUGUUCUUUAAGAGUAGUCUCAAAUAAACGGCCGCCCCAAUUAACCGGAAUCUGCAUCUCUUCGGUUUCUGGUAAAGUUUUCCACAAAUUUCAUCGAAAUAGGUUUAUCCGUUGUCUCAUGCGUGCGGACGGACAGAGAAAUUUUUAUCGGCGCCCGCAGAUUUGGAAACGGAGCGUCUGCUAGGAGGAGGAGGCCUGGUUCUUGCUAAAAGUUUUCGCACUCGCGUACUCACGUGUGGGGCGCGUCUGCCGAAGUUCAGGGGCACGCAAGACUGAUAUUACUUGGACGGCGAUGCUUUGAUGUCAGCACCGCGACGGAGAGGGGCUGGGGACGUUCGGUUCUGGGUCUUGCACGAUUGUGCUUUUGUUCGUUUGCGGAUGGACAUUUCAUCUAUCAGCCACCCACCCUCUCCUCUCCUCUCUUUUACUAUUCACUCCUCUUCGUUCUGUAAGGCAUUUCCUUUAUCUGGCAGAUGUCCAGCUUCCUUUUGCUACAGGAUGACGGCCUCAAGUCUCACCUUGCAGCAGCUGCUUCGUCAGCUCGUGUUGGGGGCAGUGAACCCGUAGUUCAACUGUGACUGACGAAACAGAUUCCAUCUGCUCUGUGUGAGACGUUAUAUUUGCUGAAGGAUGCCUUGAGUAACGUUUAAAGUACACGAGGCAUUAGGACAAUGCGGACAUUCGGAGUGAUCGCUCUUUUCAAAAUUGAACUUGUUGCAGCUCAGAUUUCGAUUGCAUUGUGCUUUUUUAAAGAAAUUAUGGUCGAUGGAUAUUUUAUGGGUUUCCCUUCUGCGUGGUACCGUUCAGUCAAUCUUUAAAUUUAACAUAUCAGCAUUUGAAGAGUACAAGAAGACGUCGUUAGGGUGCCCUUACCUCUCUUUUAUUGGGGCCGAUCUUCUGCCCUGUUUAGUUACCGAGCUACAUAAGUUGCAAAACUAGACAUUAAUUUGUCGUUAAUGUUGAUUAAAUUGUACGGCCAGUUUACGAAAUGUUAAUUCGCUUGAGUUGAAAAGGCAAAUUAUCGAACCGCACAUUGCACUGCGCGUUGAACAUCUGAAUGUACCGUUCGACCUUCGUUCCAUAAGCGAUGGAAAGAUUUGUUUUGAAUUAGACCUAGGCCACACGCGUGUUAACAACAAACCAGUUGCUAACAAAUGCGUCCAAGCCUUGAUCAGUUACUUUCGUAAGCAAAACAAGAAUGUUUAUCGUCUUCGAACUUUUUAUGCUCUGCAGCCCCCCACAAGCCGUUACGAAGUGCCGUUGUGUAUCGACCGGCUAAGAACCAGUUGCUGGUCUGUUUGUGUACAGGCGUUGCAAGAACGUUGUCACGGAGUACAGUCACGUUCGGCAAUGAAGACAAAUAAUAAAUAAAGG